CCAGACUCCUACGGGAGGCAGCAGUGGGGAAUAUUGCACAAUGGGGGAAACCCUGAUGCAGCAACGCCGCGUGAGUGAAGAAGUAUUUCGGUAUGUAAAGCUCUAUCAGCAGGGAAGAAGAUGACGGUACCUGAUUAAGAAGCCCCGGCUAACUACGUGCCAGCAGCCGCGGUAAUACGUAGGGGGCAAGCGUUAUCCGGAUUCACUGGGCGUAAAGGGAGCGCAGGCGGCACGGCAAGUCUGGUGUGAAAGCCCGGGGCCCAACCCCGGGACUGCAUUGGAACUGCAUGGCUGGAGUACAGGAGGGGCAGGCGGAAUUCCUAGUGUAGCGGUGAAAUGCGUAGAUAUUAGGAGGAACACCGGUGGCGAAGGCGGCCUGCUGGACUGUGACUGACGUUGAGGCCCGAAGGCGUGGGGAGCAAACAGGAUUAGAUACCCCCGUA
rnacentral:rRNA from 1 species